rnacentral:rRNA from 1 species
CAGCCGCCACGGUAAUACGUAGGGUGCGAGCGUUAAUCGGAAUUACUGGGCGUAAAGCGUGCGCAGGCGGUUGUGUAAGACAGGUGUGAAAUCCCCGGGCUUAACCUGGGAACUGCGCUUGUGACUGCACAGCUAGAGUAUGGCAGAGGGGGGUGGAAUUCCACGUGUAGCAGUGAAAUGCGUAGAGAUGUGGAGGAAUACCGAUGGCGAAGGCAGCCCCCUGGGCCAAUACUGACGCUCAUGCACGAAAGCGUGGGGAGCAAACAGGAUUAGAUACCCGCGUAGUCCCUGUCUCUUAUAC